UAGACCAAGAUAGAACAGCCCUCCAGAAAGUGAAGAAAUCUGUGAAAGCAAUAUAUAAUUCUGGUCAAGCUGGGGACUGAACCCAGGGCCUUGCGCUUCCUAGCCACAACUCACUUGCAGACAGUCACUUCACUGAUACAUCAGUGUCUCUAAUGCACAGAAAGCCUGGAAGGGGAAGAUGGCUGACUACGAAGGAAAGAGUACGUUCUUUGAAGCUGAACAGUGAACAAAACCACCUUGAACUGCAUCCUGCUUUCUAUACAUGGGAUGGUACUAUUAAAGACUUGGACCUCAUUUCUGUAUUAUAUCGUCGGAGUUCAGUAAACUCAGUGUUCUUCUUAAUGUUAUUAUUAUUAUACAGCUAUAGAGCUGAAAGAAGUGUGAGCAAGGCAAAACCUGACCCCAGAACUGCCUUCCUCACACACCCUCAGAACUAAAAUCACUAGUCUGAGGGAAAACUUGCUCUUGACAGCCUCCUCCCCACACCUUAGAACAUUGUACAACAUUAUCAUCAUGUUUUAUACCACUACCUCAUUUCUCUAUAUUUCAAGAAAAUGACACAAUAUUUAAAUAACACAAGUAAGUAAUGACUGUUUAUAAGUCAGUUUUUUUUUAUCUGAUACAAGUAAAUAUAAUUAUAGUGGUUUUAUUUUUUCAUCUUUAUUAACUUGGGUAUUUCUUAUUUACAUUUCGAUUGUUAUUCCCUUUCCCAGUUUCCGGGCCAACAUCCCCCUA
rnacentral:lncRNA from 1 species